rnacentral:rRNA from 1 species
CAAUAGCGUAUAUUAAAGUUGUUGCAGUUAAAAAGCUCGUAGUUGGAUUUCUGGUUGAAGCGACCGGCCGGGCGUUGAUUCGUCUGCACUGGAGUCGGUUUUGGCCAUCCUCUAGGAAAGUGCGUCUGGUAUUAAGUUAUCGGGCGUAUGAUCCUGGUCUUUUACUGUGAAAAAAUUAGAGUGUUUAAAGCAGGCCUUCGCCUUGAAUACAUUAGCAUGGAAUAAUAAGAUAGGACUUUGGUCUAUUUUGUUGGUUUGCAGACCGAAGUAAUGAUUAAUAGGGAUAGUUGGGGGUAUUUAUAUUCCGAUGUCAGAGGUGAAAUUCUUAGAUUUUCGGAAGAUAAACUUAUGCGAAAGCAUUUACCAAGGAUGUUUUCAUUAA